UACGGAGUGAUCAUCGAAGUGUCAGUUGGGAUCCGUUAUAAUAAUAUAAAGAUCUGGUAGAUUAUAGCUUGUUGUAUACAUAAUGUUAGUUUUAGAAAAACGCUAUCACAAAGCAGUAAUGGAAUAAAAUAUAUCAACGUGCAAACCAAAGUGUUAUGAUUUUCAAAUAUGCAAACUGAAUAAAAGGCGAAGUUAUAUCCAGUGGCCUUCUUUGACACUUCAUCUGGGGACCAACAGCUUAAAGUGACUUCCGAGGCAACAAUGCGGACUGCUGUACUUGCAAGGACAGGAUCAGAAGCGGUCACUUAUUCUAGCAGCAGCCACGCCUAACAUUGCUUGACUUGGUGAUCUUGCAACAAUCGUGUAACCCACUACACCUAAGUUAUUGCGGGAAUUAUAUGGUGUAAUCUA